CGCUCCCCGAAAUACUAUAAACAUGGGGAGUCCUGCCUGCCCAGUGACUAGAGGUUAAACGGCCGCGGUAUCUUGACCGUGCGAAGGUAGCAUAAUCAUUUGUCUCCUAAAUAGAGACUAGUAUGAAUGGCAAGACGGAACUAAGCUGUCUCUUUUUUACGACUCUGAAUUUCACCUCCUCGUGAAGAGGCGAGGAUAAAAUCGUUAGACGAGAAGACCCUGUCGAGCUUACAGCAAAAGUUAAGCCUCUAAUUCAUUUACUCUCUACUAAUCAAUAAACUUAUAAAAGGGUAAGUUCUUAAAAGACUUUACUAAGCUUUGGUUGGGGCAACCGCGGAGAAAAAUAACCCUCCGCUAAUAAAAAAUUUUACAAAGAACUACAAUUCUAUAAUCAAGAAUGAAAGUAUGAUCCACUAAGGUGAUCAAAGGAACAAGUUACCGCAGGGAUAACAGCGUUAUCUUUUCUGAGAGUUCACAUUGACGAAAAGGUUUGCGACCUCGAUGUUGGAUCGGGACAUCCUAAGGGUGCAGAAGCUUUUAAGGGUUGGUCUGUUCGACCAUUAAAGUCCUACGUGAUCUGAGUUCAGACCGGCGAAAGC
rnacentral:rRNA from 1 species